rnacentral:rRNA from 1 species
CGUAGGGACCGAGCGUUGUCCGGAUUCAUUGGGCGUAAAGAGCUCGUAGGCGGCUGCUCAAGUCGAAUGUGAAAACUCGAGGCUCAACCUCGAGCCUGCAUUCGAUACUGGGCGGCUAGAGUCUGGUAGGGGGGAUCUGGAAUUCCUGGUGUAGCGGUGGAAUGCGCAGAUAUCAGGAGGAACACCGGUGGCGAAGGCGGGAUCCUGGGCCAGUACUGACGCUGAGGAGCGAAAGCGUGGGGAGCAAACAGGAUUAGAUACCCUGGUAGUCCACGCCGUAAACGAUGGGCGCUAGGUGUGGGAGGUCAUCGACUCCUUCCGUGCCGCAGCUAACGCAUUAAGCGCCCCGCCUGGGGAGUACGGCCGCAAGGCUA